rnacentral:tRNA from 1 species
UACCACCUAGCCAAGGCUAGGUAAGGAAUCUGCCUGCAAUGCAGGAGACCCAGGUUUGAUCCCUGGGUUGGGAA